GUCCAUGAGUGUAAUAUAUAAUGAUUUUUUUUAUUUAUACGAAUACAAGCAAAAAUAUUCUUUUGAUAAAAACAGAAGAGCCGACGUUUCGGCUUGAAAACGGAUGCCAGAGAGCCCGGAAGUUUUACCAUUUCGUAUAUUAAAUAGUGAAUAGAUGUAUUGCAGCUCCCCCCGGUAUUUAUUUCGCGUAGUACACUGGUAGAAAAUGAUAGGUCGACAUUUGCGGGGAGAUUCACGCGGAUACCCUGUCUGCCAACCCACUCUAGAUCAGCUUCCAUAUAUUCCGCUCAAUUACAUAUGUACUACAUCAAAGGAGAGACAAUAUACAAAUUGGAGACAUCAAUUUGCAUAUCCGGCAAGUGCGCCGUCAGUUAUGUAAUUAUAUGUACAUUAUUCUAACAGAUUCCUCGGCGUAAAUCCCAAGAGCAAUUAAAGUUUUCCAAUUUACGCGCUGGUUGAUUCAUUAAUCCAAUUAGAGGGGAGUGGAGCUACCUGGCCGUCCUCCGACUGUCUGCCGGCCUGUGUCCACUCUAUGUGUCCACUUCUUGUCAUCAGGGCGGGGUACUGCAAGUAAAGUAGAACAUACUCCAUGAGAGGACACUCCCACUAGAGGACACCUCUCUACAGUAGAACAUACUCCAUGAGAGGACAUCUCUCUACAGUAGAACAUGUUCCAUGAGAGGACACCUCUCUACAGUAGAACAUAUUCCAUGAAAGGACACCUCUCUACCGUAGAACAUACUCCAUGAGAGGACACCUCUCUACAGUAGAACAUACUCCAUGAGAGGACACCUCUCUACAGUAGAACAUACUCCAUGAGAGGACACCUCUCUACAGUAGAACAUACUCCAUGAGAGGACACCUCCCUACAGUAGAACAUACUCCAUGAGAGGACACCUCUCUACAGUAGAACAUACUCCAUGAGAGGACACCUCUCUACAGUAGAACAUACUCCAUGAGAGGACACCUCCCUACAGUAGAACAUACUCCAUGAGAGGACACCUCCCUACAGUAGAACAUACUCCAUGAGAGGACAUCUCUCUACAGUAGAACAUACUCCAUGAGAGGACACCUCUCUACAGUAGAACAUACUCCAUGAGAGGACACCUCUCUACAGUAGAACAUACUCCAUGAGAGGACACCUCUCUACAGUAGAACAUACUCCAUGAGAGGACAUCUCUCUACAGUAGAACAUACUCCAUGAGAGGACACCUCUCUACAGUAGAACAUACUCCAUGUGAGGACACCUCUCUACAGUAGAACAUACUCCAUGAGAGGACACCUCUCUACAGUAGAACAUACUCCAUGAGAGGACACCUCUCUACAGUAGAACAUACUCCAUGUGAGGACACCUCUCUACAGUAGAACAUACUCCAUGUGAGGACACCUCUCUACAGUAGAACAUACUCCAUAAGAGGACACCUCUCUACAGUAGAACAUACUCCAUAAGAGGACACCUCUCUACAGUAGAACAUACUCCAUAAGAGGAAACUCCCGCUAGAGGAGCGAUUUCCUUAUGUUCCAACCCAACUAUCAACAUAUCUUUCGAGACAAAGUCAAGAUAUAGACAAUUGGUUUAAUUUAGCCCGUUGAAGAGCGAUUAUCACUUGAAAGUUUGCAUUUUAAAAUGAAAAGAAACUCAUUGUGAGAAAAUAAUUGUAGUUUCUCUACAUGUGUACUUUAGCUCUGUAACUAACUAGGUGAGAGAGAGGUUCUACUGUAAUUAAUACUGAUACUCUCUUUGUUUAUUUCAUGUUUGUGUAUUAAACAAUCUUUUAAACUUGUAAAAAGUUUUCCAGGAAUUUAAAUAAAGACGAUACAAAGGAUCGGUUUUAAGACCUAAUCGCGGAUUUAAGAUAGAAAUUUAUCUUAAAAUCGAUUCACGUUUGUGUAUUAAACAAUAUUUUAAAACUUGAUAAUUAAAAAAGUUUUCCAGGAACUUAAAUAAAGAUGAUACAAAUGAUCAAUUUUAAGACCUAAUCGGAUCUAUGAAUACAUUUUGUCUUAAAUCGAGAAUAUUGAUUAUAUAUAUACAUAUUUAAAUAUAUAAAAAAAUAAAGCCCGUGUUGUGACAAACCCCACACACGCCGUGAAAUUCCCCCCGGGAAAAAUAAAUUAGGAGCGUCAAUUUAAAUGGCCACCGCCAACUCUAUCAGAAAGGGAGAGCAAAAUCCCAGUAUGACGUCAUCCAUCUUGGAGGAGAUUGGACCGCCUUCUUACCUUAGAUGAACACCGUUAAUUUACUUUCCUAGGGACACUUUGUCUUUCCUUAUAUGUUUCUUCCUUGCUGAGUAAAUACCUAUAUGUCGACUUUUUCGUGAUAAAUGCAUCUCAAGGUUAGCAAUGAAAAACAAACAAACAAAAUUUACAUAUCCUGAGCACGCACAUGAGUAUUUUAAACGGCAAUUUUGUUUUUAAUAUCAACACCUGACAAUUAUUCUAUUUUUUCUUCUUUUUUCACACAUAUCGCCAUCUAAAAUGCUCAUAUGAGCGGUAUGAACAUGUCAAUUUUGUUUUUAAUAUCAACACCUGACAAUUCUUCUAUUUUUCUUCUUUUUUCACACAUAUCGCCAUCUAAAAUGCUCAUAUGAGCGGUAUGAACAUGUCAAUUUUGUUUUUAAUAUCAACACCUGACAAUUCUUCUAUUUUUCUUCUUUUUUCACACAUAUCGCCAUCUAAAAUGCUCAUAUGAGCGGUAUGAACAUGUCAAUUUUGUUUUUAAUAUCAACACCUGACAAUUCUUCUAUUUUUCUUCUUUUUUCACACAUAUCGCCAUCUAAAAUGCUCAUAUGAGCGGUAUGAACAUGUCAAUUUUGUUUUUAAUAUCAACACCUGACCUUUAUUUCUAUUUUAAAAUUAUUUUUUUCACACAUACGUGUAUAUACAAUAACAACAAAAGCCUUUAUUGAGGACCUCUCGUCCUAUAUAGGAUUCGCCAGUUUACAGAGUAAGAGAAGAGAACUAAGAAUACAGAGAGAAACCUAUAUGUAGUAGGUAUAGUAUAGUAUUUUCUACACUGUGACUAUAUACAACAGCAGUAACAAGCCUUUUACUGGAAUCAAAGUCCCAUACAGGAUUCAUACGUGUAUAUACAUUUCUGAUCAUUUGUUGGUUGAUUUGGAAAAAAAUACAUCAACGUCAUGAAACGUUGGGAUUGAAAUAAACGAUAUAUUUUUGUAUAUUAUUGCAUCUAUAAAACAAAAAUUGACAAUUAUACCGCAAAUGUAUCUUUUGAACGAAAAAUCGAAAUUUAUUUUAAGGAGAAAUACCUAUUAUUUCCAACCUUAGGGAUGAAGUAUGAAAGGAUGAAUUGUGAAGAGUAAUGAAGAACGGAAAAAUCAUUACUCUUCACAAUUCAUCCUUUCAUACUUCAUCCCUAAGGUUGGAAAUAAUAGGUAUUUCUCCUUAAAAUAAAUUUCGAUUUUUCGUUUAGAGAAACAUUUGCGGUAUAAUUGUCAAUUUUCGUUCUACAAUCAUAAGCACAUUAUACUGUAUCUAUUAGAUAAUAAAAAGGCAUAUAUUGGACUUAAUAAAAUAUUUAUUUUGCAAUAUUUCGGCUGGCCGAACGCCAACCUUUAUCGAGGCAUUACAUUUUUGUAUACCUUUUUGUAUAUAAAAAUGUAAUGCCUCGAUAAAGGUUGGCGUUCGGCCAGCCGAAAUAUUGGCAAAAUAAAUCUUUUAUUAAAUCCAAUACAUGCCUUUUUAUUAUCUUAUGAAUUAAAUAUGGAUUGCUCUAUUUUCAAAACAAAAAAUAUUGUAUCUUUAUUAUUUUUUCUUAUUUUUCACAUGAUCAGCGUAUUUAACGCAAAUUUUAGCCGUAAAUACCUAUUUAUUGAUUUCUUAGGAAACCUCUGGGACCAACAUUUUAGCCGUAGAGGUCCAGUCUGCACCACGCUGACGAAGGUCAACAGCCCGAAGCGCGUACGUGGUUGGCUUUUCUUGAUUUAUCAAGAAAUUGGGUUGGACAAAUAUCAAGGAACAAGUUAAAUAAAUAUUUAGUUGAUUAUUGUUCCACUAGAUGGCACCCUGCAUUCAAAAAAGCUCAUGUGAGGCGUCAGAAUAUGCUUUUUUAUUUUUAAUAUCAACACCUGACCAUUUAAUUUUUUUUUCUUAUUUUUUCAUAUAAAAUAUAUAAAUUACUCUAGCUUCUUUAGAAAAAGUCAUCUCCUGACGUGUGACUGAAAGUUUGCCGUUUUCUUCAUUUAUCCUUCGAACCCAAGGUACAAUUUCACCUUUGUAUGUAUGGUGUGCGAUAUUUUAAAAUUUGAACUUCUUAGUUGAAGAUCCAAGAGAAAUUCCCGGCUUUCCAGAAGAGGAAGUUUCUUUGCGAAGUGGAUCAGUCGCACUUAUUUACAAUCAUUUUUCUGUGUUGGUAAAAAAUAAAUAUCACUACAAAUAUUUUAGUGGAAUCUACGAAAUGAAUAGUUGUCUUUAAAGUGGUAGUUUUACCAACUUAAUAGUCCUCGGUAGUAUAGUGGUUAGUAUUCCCGCCUGUCACGCGGGCGACCGGGGUUUGAUUCCCCGCCGGGGAGCUUUUUUUUUCAAUCUCUGUGAAAAAUUUAGGAUUCUACUUUAUAAUUGUUUAAAAUCUUUUUAAUCAUUCCAUUGUAUAAUUCCCAUUUCCAUCCAUUAAAUAAUCAAGGUCAUGUAGUCUGAAUUCAUGGAUUAAAUUCACAAUCUUGGUAGGGUUGGAAUAUAGGUCCUGUCUUGAGGCUUCCAUACAUUCCAAGAGGUGGUCUGGUGAGGUCUCUUUGGUCCUGUAGAUGGUGUAUUGUUAGAAGCCACCAUCCUGGAAGAGGAGCGGCCUCAUAAAAAUACUUGUUCCUUUUGAUUGAUACUUUCUCUUUACUGACGGUAAAAUAUGGAGAGAGACUGAAACAAUGUUUCAAAUCUUUCAAUCAAGGAUAUUUAUCCAAUAUAUUGUACAAUUUAAAAAAUAAUCAACGAUUAGUUAUUGUUUAUUCUGAUAGAUGACGCAAGCCAUCAGCAACUUUCAAUUUCAUGAUCAGGAAAUGCCUUCGAGGGCGAUUUUAAAUCAAUGUUCUGCCAAUCCAUAGUCUCCAACAUAUAGGGCAGUAAUUAGAAUGUCUUUUUGAAUUGGGUGGUGGUAAUUCUUCUUUAGUUUCUUGAGAGACAAGUUCGUCCAUUUCUGGAUGGCUUACACCGAUAUAGCGACUACACUCAUGGACAAAACAUAAGGAAGUGGAAAAUCUUUGAUGUCGCUGGGCGUAUGUUUUUUGAAGGAGACGGAGAUAAUUUUGUUCACACUUGGUUAUCUCGUGUGUCUUCAAUAAAGGUCACUGUAAUAUCUUUCAGAGUUAUUAUCUCAAUCCCGAUAUACAUGCUAAAAGGUAUAACUUCCUUAAGUUUUGUCCAUGAGUGUAUCUUUCAGAGUUAUUGUCUCAAUCCCGAUAUACAUGCUAAAAGGUACAACUUCCUUUAGUUUUGUCCAUGAGUGUAUCUUUCAGAGUUAUUGUAUGAACCCCGAUAUACAUGCUAAAAGGUACAACUUCCUUUAGUUAUGUCCAUGAGUGUAUCUUUCAGAGUUAUUGUCUAAUCCCGAUAUACAUGCUAAAAGGUACAACUUCCUUUAGUUUUGUCCAUGAGUAUAUCUUUCAGAGUUAUUGUCUCAAUUCCGAUAUACAUGCUAAAAGGUACAACUUCUUUAAGUUUUGUCAAUGAGUGUAUCUUUCAGAGUUAUUGUUUCAAUCCCGAUAUACAUGCUAAAAGGUACAACUUCCUUUAGUUUUGUCCAUGAGUGUUUCUUUCAGAGUUAUUGUCUGAAUCCCGAUAUACAUGCUAAAAGGUACAACUUCCUUUAGUUUUGUCCAUGAGUGUAUCUUUCAGAGUUAUUGUCUGAAUCCCGAUAUACAUGCUAAAAGGUACAACUUCCUUCAGAUUUGUCCAUGAGUGUAUAUCAAUGCUAUAAUAUUCUGACAACUAAAAGAGAUGUAAUAUACAAAUUUAUUUCAGCCAUAUUGUCAAUAUCUUAGGCCAAGAAUAUUAAAGCCAGUCAACACGUGUGUUGAAUAAAUUAAUUGUAGGAGUUACUGGAUAUUUACGGUGAGAUGGACACAUCAUAUUUAUCAUGGUAAUUUGAAAAUGUCAAACUCCAUUUGACAUGGAUGGAUAAUAAUUAUGGCCCUCAAGUUAUUUGGGAACAAUUUAACGGGUCACGAACCCCAUCUUCUGAUCCCCUUCUACUAGACGCCAUUUUAAAUGCUUUUCGUCUGCUUAAAAAAAUAUAUAUUUUUAACUGAUGCCAUUUUUCGUAAUUUUGAAGAUUUUUCUUCUGCCUAUACCAUUUAUUUUCAAACUUUUCGAUACAUAUUUAUAACAUUUAGUAAGUAAGACUUUUUUUAUCGUCUGCUUAAAAAAAAUUCCCGCCAUUUUAAAUAUCUAGGAACAAUAUAUUUAUUAGGAUGUAAAUAUGUAUGAAUACCUGGGGGGCAGUUAUGCAACAAAGAAUGUUCGAAUAUAAAGAAGAUUUGCAUCAAUAUUUGAAAGAAACAUUUCGUGGAAGAAUAUACGCACAAAAAAACAACAACAACAACAACAAAAAAACUGAAUAUUUGAAAGGGAGAAGGGUUAAAAAAGAAAAUAUGCAUAUAUUUUUAAUAUUAUGUAAAUAUUUGUGAUGAAAAUAGUUUCAAAAAUUUAGCAAUCUUUCUAUAUAUAUUUGCAAUAUAAUCGCUAUAUAAAAUCGUUAAAUAAAACGAUAUAAGUGUGUUAUUGUUGCGAAUACGUCUGCACAAUAUCAGACACGUAUUUAGAAUAAAGCUUUCUCGAUAUUUAAAUUCGGUAGGUUUGACUUACUGUCACAGUUUCGAUUUCAGAAUAUGCAACACUAGGUCGAUAACAGUUUGAUUUGCAUAAUCCGGGGGACGGAAAUUUAUUAUGAUAAUAAUCAAUUAUUGAAUUCCUAUCUUCACCGUCACUACUACUUGUCAUUGUUAGUGUCCCUCAAGUCAACUUUUAGUGACAUAUGGUGACAAAUAUUCUCCAGUUUGAUCUGUUAGUGACCAUCACUCUCAUCUAGUGACCUUCUGGUAGUUUUCUUGAUCUCUUCUAACCAGCUCAUUGGAGGUCUUCCUCUCUUCUUUCCUUUUUUUUGCCCCAACAUAAUAUCUUUUAUAAUCUAUUUACACUCACGGACAAAACUUAAAGAAAUGGAAAGUCUUUGAUGUCGCCGGUCGUCUGUUUAUUUAAAAAAAAAAAGACAGAGGCUGUUAACGCUUGGUUAUCUCGUUUCUUCAAUAAAGGUCACUGUAAUAUCUUUCAGAGUUAUUGUCUGAAUCCCGAUAUACAUGCUAAAAGGUACAACUUCCUUAAGUUUUGUCCAUGAGUGUAUCUUUCAGAGUUAUUGUCUGAAUCCCGAUAUACAUGUUAAAAGUUGCAACUUUCUUAAGUUUUGUCCAUGAGUAUAACUUGUCAUAUAUUGUAAGGAAACAAUGAAGAGAGUUCAUGCCGACCCAGAAUUACCAACGGCAAUGUUUGAUUGUAUAGGUCGCUGGGAAUAUCUAGCAGCACAUGGCGGAAAUGUGGAUUGAUGGGAGGGUGGCGUGUGGACCACUCCCUUACUUCUACAGUUCACGGCCUGGCCACGGAGUAGAAAGUUGAUUGAUACCAUUUCAUAACAAAGACACAUCUCCUGAUUGUGCAAAUGAAAAUUGCUGAUGGACUGCGCCAACUAUAGCAAUCAAUAUAAUCUUAAUUUAUAUAAAAAACGUUUUUUAGCCAAUAUUCUGGGAUUAAAAAAAAAUAUAUAUAUAAGCGAUUAAAUUAUAUUUAUUCCGAAAGAUGGCGCAAGCCAUCAUCUAUCUUCAAUUGAAUGAUUAGGAGAUGCCUUUUUUAUCCUUAUUUAACCACUUAAUCCCUGUGUAAUUUUUGUAUUAUUUUUAUAAUAGCGCCUUUGGCUUGCUGACUAAGUUCUUUAUUUCAAUAUGUGUCAGUGUUAGUAGAUUCUCUGUAGCAUUUGUCAGAACACACCUUCCAGAAAACACGGGUAGCCACAGCUAGCGAUAUAUACACUGAUGGACAAAAUUAAGGACGUUGUACCUUUUAGCAUGUAUAUCGGGAUUGAGACAAUAACUCUGAAAGAUACACUCAUGGACAAAAUUAAGGACGUUGUACCUUUUAGCAUGUAUAUCGGGAUUGAGACAAUAACUCUGAAAGAUACACUCAUGGACAAAAUUAAGGACGUUGUACCUUUUAGCAUGUAUAUCGGGAUUGAGACAAUAACUCUGAAAGAUACACUCAUGGACAAAAUUAAGGACGUUGUACCUUUUAGCAUGUAUAUCGGGAUUGAGACAAUAACUCUGAAAGAUACACUCAUGGACAAAAUUAAGGACGUUGUACCUUUUAGCAUGUAUAUCGGGAUUGAGACAAUAACUCUGAAAGAUACACUCAUGGACAAAAUUAAGGACGUUGUACCUUUUAGCAUGUAUAUCGGGAUUGAGACAAUAACUCUGAAAGAUACACUCAUGGACAAAAUUAAGGACGUUGUACCUUUUAGCAUGUAUAUCGGGAUUGAGACAAUAACUCUGAAAGAUACACUCAUGGACAAAAUUAAGGACGUUGUACCUUUUAGCAUGUAUAUCGGGAUUGAGACAAUAACUCUGAAAGAUGCACUCAUGGACAAAAUUAAGGACGUUGUACCUUUUAGCAUGUAUAUCGGGAUUGAGACAAUAACUCUGAAAGAUACACUCAUGGACAAAAUUAAGGACGUUG